UAGGGAAUCUUCGGCAAUGGACGGAAGUCUGACCGAGCAACGCCGCGUGAGUGAAGAAGGUUUUCGGAUCGUACAGCUCUGUUGUUAGAGAAGAACGUUGGUAGGAGUGGAAAAUCUACCAAGUGACGGUAACUAACCAGAAAGGGACGGCUAACUACGUGCCAGCAGCCGCGGUAAUACGUAGGUCCCGAGCGUUGUCCGGAUUUAUUGGGCGUAAAGCGAGCGCAGGCGGUUCUUUAAGUCUGAAGUUAAAGGCAGUGGCUUAACCAUUGUACGCUUUGGAAACGGGAGGACUGGAGUGCAGAAGGGGAGAGUGGAAUUCCAUGUGUAGCGGUGAAAUGCGUAGAUAUAUGGAGGAACACCGGUGGCGAAAGCGGCUCUCUGGUAUGUAACUGACGCUGAGGCUCGAAAGCGUGGGGAGCAAACAGG
rnacentral:rRNA from 1 species